rnacentral:pre_miRNA from 1 species
CUUGUACUCCCUCCGUCCGGAAAUACUUGUCAUUGAAAUGGAUGUAUCUAGAUGUAUUUUAGUUCUAGACACAUCCAUUUUGAUGACAAGUAAUUCUGGACGGAGGGAGUACUUG